CUAACUGAGCCACCCAGGCGCCCCUAGAAUUUUCUCGUGAAUGGUCCUAAUAACGCAGGGUUGUUGAGCCCAAAGGUCAAGAAAGGAUUCUUGAAAUGUUUUAUGGUGCAAAAAAGUGUUUUUAUUGUAGCUGGACCCUUGGGCAGAAAAGGGAAAUCUCUAAAAGGAUUUCUGUAUGUCCGGGAAGAUUACAGCAUCUUGGAGGUCUGGCUAUUGUCAAGCUAAGGUUGUUUUUUAGUUUCUGGCAAAGCAUUAACAUUAAGGCAGCUGUGAGUUCUUUGAGGAACGUCACACUACACGUCUCCGGUAUUUAUCCACAGGCUGCGUGUUGUAAGGAAAUUUAAUUUUAUCUACAUUUCUCUUGCCUCUGUUCUCCUUAUCACUAGUAAUUAGCUAGCGAAGUCCCUGUCUCCUAGGAGGACACUUGAAAUCCACAAGGCUUUCCCCACAGAAUAUUAAAAUCCUGAGGUACAUACAUCACUGUACAUAUGAAUGGGGAAAGAGAGUCCUUUUCUCAUUGUUCUUAAACAUUAAAGCAAAUUGCAAGAACUUUGAGCUGGAAGGAUAUACCCAGAAGCCGUGUAUUUAGAAUAGGAGAAGCCAGACAGGAGAGACAGUGUUGGUCAUCAGGAUGACUUUUAAUUAGGGGAACUAACUGGACAGAAGAUGGCCUUUCAGGCCUUAAAAAAUCAUUAUGCAUCCACCAAAGGAAGGAAACAAGGUCUAUAUGUGGCAUAGGUUAAAACAACAACAACCACAACAACAACAAAACACACUCUCUCUUCCUCUAACCCGGUACCUCUCACUGGCUAUCUAACAGAUCACCCCAAAUCUGAUCAGGCAUUUCCUGCUUACACAGCUCUUGAUGGCUAUCCUGGCCCCAUGGUGAGCUCCCCAUUCAGAAGUAUGCUUUUGGGGGGCCUUUCUCAGCAAGGAAGGAAUCUUUCUCUUGACUCGAGGUGAAAGUUACGUCUCCUCUCUUUGAAUCUCCAUUAUCACUAGACGACUCCAACUUCCCACAGGGCCUCAUUCACUUUCCCCCUUCUAUUGACUGACUUGUAGAUUUUUUUAUACUGUAACAACAACGCCCCAGAGGCCCAAGCUGCAGUCACUCACGCCAGCCCACGUCACCAAACGGAAUCUCCGCACCUAACCUAAUUGCCGUUUCAACGUCUUCCAGAAAUGGAGUCUGAGUCAGGAAUUCUCUGCUUAGCCCCCAUCUGCAAUCUGUCACGCGGGUUCUCUCCAUCCCCACCCCCACCCCAGGAAGGAGGAUCCAGGAGGGCCCUGGUAUUCCUGCUCUGUGUGUGUGAAGUUUUGAGUCCAGUGUUCCUCCGUGGGUCCCUGAAGACAGCUCUGGCUGGGUUUCAACAGGCUGUGCUGGUGUGAGUUCUCUGCUACGUUGAUGGGAUUUCUAGAGCAGGAUGGGGUGAACCCAGUUUUUAAAAUAAAUUAGCUGAUGCUGUCAGUGUUGUGCUUCAUUAUCUACUUUGAUAGGAACAUGAAAUAAGGAAAGUUCUGGAGAAAGAUCCCCCCACAUUUCCUCAUUCUCUCUGAGCAAGCUGUCCCCAGGUUCCUUGGACUGGACUAGCCUCAACCUUGGCCCACAGAGACUUGAAUAAGCACCAGCUUGGUUGUAGCAACUCAAAGCUACAUCUCUAGGAUGACCCUUGCUCGCUUUAAAGUGCCUGCCUGAGGAAACUCAAGGCUGCCAAAAGAAUUUGCUGUUUGUUCCAGCCAACACCCAAAGACAAGGCCCCUGGCACGCCGCCAUAUUUGUGGGCCCACGGGAGCCGAAUCUGAUACGCUCCUGGUAGUGAACUCAGUCGGUUUCCUAAGGAUAAAGCCCCUUUCCCACUCUGUUGUGAUUUUUCACUUCCCUGACCAGCACUCUAGCUUCUCCCCUUAAAAUGCCCACUCACGUCUGUUCCAAUUGAAGUUAUAGUCAGUUAUGCUGGACUCUUUCCUUAUUGCAAUAGUCGUUACUGAUUAAAAUCUGUCCUUAGCAGUAUCCUUCAGUGUCUGAUUUUGUCCAACAUCUUUAACAACGUAAGUUCAGCUAAGGCCAUCCGAAGAAUCCCUUGGUUGCUUGAGUAAAGAAUGGAAGGGAGCCAACGGGUAGAAACCUCCAGUUUGAAGGAAGGAAUGAAGGACUAACACAUACAACAGUAGGAGAGGGACCCCGAAAACCUUCUGCUAAAUGAAGAAACCCAAACACAGAGGCCACACGUUGUAUGAUUCCACUGUACAGGAGUUCAAAACAAACAAACCACCACCAACAGCCAUAAAAACAAAAUGUCCGGAAUAGCCAAAUGCAUGAGGACAGGAAGCAGACUA